rnacentral:rRNA from 1 species
GAUGAACGCUGACAGAAUGCUUAACGCAUGCAAGUCUUUGGCGAAGCUGUGCUUGCACAGCCUAGCCAAGGCGGACGGGUGAGUAACGCGUAAGGAACUUGCCCUGCAGUCAGGGAUAACAGACGGAAACGACUGAUAAGACCCGGUAAAGUCAGGCAGACUCAUGUCCAGCCUGAUGAAAAGAGAUGCUGCAGGAGAGCCUUGCGUCCUAUUAGCUUGUUGGUGGGGUAACGGCCCACCAAGGCGAUGAUAGGUAGCCGGCCUGAGAGGGUGGACGGCCACAAGGGGACUGAGAUACGGCCCUUACUCCUACGGGAGGCAGCAGUGGGGAAUAUUGGACAAUGGGGGCAACCCUGAUCCAGCAAUUCUGUGUGCACGAUGAAGGUUUUCGGAUUGUAAAGUGCUUUCAGCAGGGAAGAAAAAAAUGACGGUACCUGCAGAAGAAGCGACGGCUAAAUACGUGCCAGCAGCCGCGGUAAUACGUAUGUCGCAAGCGUUAUCCGGAAUUAUUGGGCAUAAAGAGCAUCUAGGCGGCCAGAUAAGUCUGGGGUGAAAACUUGCGGCUCAACCGCAAGCCUGCCCUGGAAACUAUGUGGCUAGAGUACUGGAGAGGUGGACGGAACUGCACGAGUAGAGGUGAAAUUCGUAGAUAUGUGCAGGAAUGCCGAUGAUGAAGAUAGUUCACUGGACGGUAACUGACGCUGAAGUGCGAAAGCUAGGGGAGCAAACAGG